AAAAAAAAAAAAAAAAAAUAUAUUCUCUAAACUUCCAAACGAGAGAGACGUUCUCUCUUUAGAACUAGAGACCAUAUGCUAGGAUAGGGAUUUAACCUUACCCAUAAUGGCUCUUCCUAUGGUAGCGUUUUAGCCUCAAAUGAUAAAGGAAUCUAUAACCCAACCAAUAGCUGUUUGAAAGUUGGCUACCUAGCUAGUGGUGAAUUCUUUAUGAAAAAUCUCCUCUGGCCUGGUUUAUUCUCUUGAAAAAAGACUUGCUUUUUCUAUCCUUUUCUUUUUCAAAAUUAAGAAUAUUCAACAACAUUGUUUCGGAUUUGUUUGCAGCGUAAUUUCAAUCGAUAUUUUUAAGAUCACUAGAAAUAGUCCAUUUCGAGAAGCCAGAAUUGUAACAAAU
rnacentral:misc_RNA from 1 species